CCUGUAUGUAUACACUUGUAUGUUUAAUAUCCAUCAGUUUUAUGAUUAUUUGAAUUGCUCGCCCUCCAAUUUCACCGGAAGUUGUCGACAGGUGUCCCGCUGACGGGAAGCCUAGCCCUAAGAAUUAAGAUAAUUCAUUUCAGGGAAGAGACUUGUAUACUGCCCUGACAAAUGAGGCCUAUGAGGAGUUCUGACACGCUGUGUCGAAACUUGAUAUGUUGCGCCGUCUGGCCCCAGAAACUGCCAAUGGAACCAAGUGCUCACUCUGUCCCAAGGUUGCCAUGGAUUUCAAGCGGGCAACGCCAUCAAGUCCAAACCCAAAACAACGAAAUUGGACGAGACAGGGGGUUUGGGUUGGGGGUUUCCUGCAAGCAUGAG
ensembl:lncRNA